rnacentral:rRNA from 1 species
UACGUAGGGUGCGAGCGUUGUCCGGAAUUAUUGGGCGUAAAGAGCUCGUAGGCGGUUUGUCGCGUCUGCUGUGAAAACCUAAGGCUCAACCUUGGGCUUUGCAGUGGGUACGGGCAGACUAGAGUGCGGGUAGGGGUGACUGGAAUUCCUGGUGUAGCGGUGGAAUGCGCAGAUAUCAGGAGGAACACCGAUGGCGAAGGCAGGUCACUGGGCCGCAACUGACGCUGGAGGAGCGA